rnacentral:sRNA from 1 species
GGGGAUGCCUCUUAAUCAUCCUCUCCCUAGAUAAUGACGAAUGCGCCGAUGAGGAACCGGCCUGUGAGGGCGGCCGCUGUGUCAACACUGUGGGCUCUUAUCACUGUACCUGCGAGCCCCCACUGGUGCUGGAUGGCUCGCAGCGCCGCUGCGUCUCCAACGAGAGCCAGAGCCUCGAUGACAAUCUGGGAGUGUGCUGGCAGGAAGUGGGGGCUGACCUCGUGUGCAGCCACCCUCGGCUGGACCGUCAGGCCACCUACACAGAGUGCUGCUGCCUGUAUGGAG